GCCUUUGUAAGCAUUCCAGUGAUAUCUCUCCUUCGUCAUUCAUGCUACAGGAUUGCAUCUCAAUAGGCACCAUGUUCUCCAUGUUGUCAAUCAAUGGAGGCAAGUAAUUUGUAUCCAUUCCAAUACUAAAAGUUGCUUGGGGGGGCAGCACUGCUUGAACAUGAUGGUGCUGGCUUGAAUUCCAAGUUUCAGUGUUUAAGCUUGCCGAAUCAUGAAAAAGCUCCCCACGUACACUACUAUCCACAAUUCCAUCAAGUGAGGCAGUACUGGUGUCAAACAUAAAUAAGGGAGCUGAAGACGAAAAUAGGGUUUCUUGAACUUGUGGCCUUGUCAAAUCUUGAUGACCUAAAUCUAGUUGGUUUGAGGUAUAAUUUAUAUUUGAAUGAUCAGUACUAGUAGUUGCAUUGGUUAUUGUUGCAGGUGCUGAAGGCUUUCGU
rnacentral:lncRNA from 1 species